CGAAAACUUUACAAUGCCGGCAACGGCGAUAAGGGAACCUCGAGUGCCAGGUUACAAAUCUGGCUGUCGUGAUGCCUAAAAAGCAUUGCAUAGCAAGGGCCGGGCAAGACCGGUGCCAGCCGCCGCGGUAACACCGGCGGCUCGAGUGGUAACCGUUAUUAUUGGGUCUAAAGGGUCUGUAGCCGGCCGGGUAAGUCUCUUGGGAAAUCUGGCAGCUUAACUGUCAGGCUUUCAGGAGAUACUGCCUGGCUCGAGGCCGGGAGAGGUGAGAGGUACUUCAGGGGUAGGGGUGAAAUCUUGUAAUCCUUGAAGGACCACCAGUGGCGAAGGCGUCUCACCAGAACGGACCUGACGGCAAGGGACGAAAGCUAGGGGCACGAACCGGAUUAGAUACCCGGGUAGUCCUAGCCGUAAACGAUACUCGCUAGGUGUCGGCCACGGUGCGACCGUGGUCGGUGCCGUAGGGAAGCCGUGAAGCGAGCCACCUGGGAAGUACGGCCGCAAGGCUGAAACUUAAAGGAAUUGGCGGGGGAGCAC
rnacentral:rRNA from 1 species